GGCAUGGUGGUGCAGUGGUUAGCACUAUCGCCUCAGAGCAAGAACAUUGUGGGUUUGAACCCAGCCUGAGGCC